rnacentral:rRNA from 1 species
AGCGAACGUUAGCGGCGGGCUUAACACAUGCAAGUCGAGCGAGAAAGUGGCUUCGGCCAUCAGUAAAGCGGCGGACGGGUGAGUAACACGUAGGUAAUCUUCCUUCGAGCGGGGACAACGUUCCGAAGGGACGCUAAUACCGCAUACGUUUCUCGGGACCUCGGUCCUGGGAAGGAAAGCUAGGUCGCAAGAUCCGGCACUCGAUGAGGAGCCUGCGUAGCAUCAGCUAGUUGGGGGGUAAUGGCCUACCAAGGCGAAGACGCUUAGCUGGUCUGAGAGGAUGAUCAGCCACACUGAAACUGAGACACGGUUCAGACUCCUACGGGAGCAGCAGUGGGAAUAUUGGACAAUGGGCGCAAGCCUGAUCCAGCCACGCCGCGUGAGUGAUGAAGGCCUU